rnacentral:rRNA from 1 species
AGUGACAAUAUGGUUCAACGGCCGCGGUAUUUUGACCGUGCAAAGGUAGCGUAAUCACUUGUCUUUUAAAUGAAGACCUGUAUGAAUGGCAUAACGAGGGCUUAACUGUCUCCUCUUUCCAGUCAAUGAAAUUGAUUUCCCCGUGCAGAAGCGGGGAUAAGCACAUAAGACGAGAAGACCCUAUGGAGCUUUAGACACCAAGACAGAUCAUGUUAAACAACCCGCAUCACAACGGCCUGAACUUAAUGACCACCUGUCCUAAUGUCUUCGGUUGGGGCGACCAUGGGGUAGCACAAAACUCCCAUGCGGAAUAGGAGGACAACCCAAUAUCUUUUCCCCUCCUCCCACAAGCAAGAGCUACAGCUCUAACUAACAGAACAUCUGACCUUACAUGAUCCGGCUUCUGCCGAUCAACGAA